GUCUUUUUGAGUUAUUUUUAAAGUCUGACCUGCCCACUGAAUAAUUUUUAAAUGGCCGCAGUAUCCUAACUGUGCAAAGGUAGCAUAAUCAUUAGUCUUUUAAUUGAAGGCUGGUAUGAACGGUUGGACGAAGUAUAAGCUGUUUCAUAUAAAAUUAUUUUAGAAUUUUAUAUUUUAGUUAAAAAGCUAAAAUUUUAUUAAAAGACGAGAAGACCCUAUAAAUCUUUAUAUUUAUAAUUAUUCAAGUUUUUUGGAUUAAUUUUAUUUUUAUAAUUGUAAAUAUUUUGUUGGGGUGAUGUUAAAAUUUAAUAAACUUUUAAUUAUUUAUUAAAUCAUUAAUUUAUGAGUAAUUGAUCCAUUAUUAGUGAUUAUAAGAUUAAGUUACUUUAGGGAUAACAGCGUAAUUUUUUUUGAGAGUUCAUAUCGACAAAAAAGUUUGCGACCUCGAUGUUGGAUUAAGAUACAUAUUUAGGUGUAGCCGCUUAAACAUAAAGUCUGUUCGACUUUUAAAUUCUU
rnacentral:rRNA from 1 species